CUGAGCCAUUUUACUGGGAUGCACAUGUUUUUGUAAAAGUGGAGAUAUAAAGAGAAAUACGUUGGCAUAUGCAUACAUUAGAAUAGGGAGGGAAGGACCUGCUCUUUGUUCUGAGAAAUCUUUUUAAAAGUUUAUAUUAGCAUAUAUUAGUUGUACAUAGCAAUGGGAUUCAUCAUAUCUUCUUACAUGUAUUGCUGUAUUUUGGUCAUAUUCACCCCUAUUACCUUUUCUCUAACUCCUGCUAAUCCUCAUCCUCUCCCUCUUCUUAACUAGUCCUGCUAAUCCUCUCCCUCUUCCUAACUAGUCCUGCUAAUCCUUUCUCUCUUCCUAACUAGUCCUUCUACUUCCACAUCUUCAUUCAUUUCUUGGGGACCUGGACAUCUUUUUUGAGAACCGUCUCAAAUGUGCUUUGCCACAGUGAGAGCACAGCCUGUCUCUGACUGGAAGGAUGCCAUACGUCUUUCCUGUUAAGGCAGUCUUUCCCCAGAAGACUUCAAUCUCAGCCAUAUGUGCUUCUGCAUGCAUUUAUCGCAUUACAUCACAUUUUUUAUGUGCUUCUUCCUCUAUUGCACCAAAAGCUUUAUGAGGACAAGGGCUGUGAUUCAUCUUUUUUUUGUGUUCUUAGCAUUUGACAUCAGACUUUUUCUUUUAAGAACUUUAAAGUCUGUUGGAAGAUCACAGAAGUGUAUAAAAAAGCCAGAGCAGGAGGUAUAUAUUGUGUCUGUAAUAAAAUCCUAUCAGAGUUCUGAGAAGAAACAGUGCUGUUUUGGUUGAGGGGUGAAUAGCGGAAUAGGACCAUGGGAUGCAACAGGGAGCAUGGGGUAGUCAAACAGGGUUUCAUGAUGCAUUGUGGGAUGGGGAUGGAGUGGAGGGGCAACAUUGGAGAAAAAGUGGUAAUUAAGCUAAAGGACAAAAGUGGGGACAAAACUGUGUUAGAGAAUCAUGGUUCAGUGGUUUGCAUGACAGGAUGGAAGUGGUGGAGGACAAGGAUCAGGAGUACAUGUAGGCUUUGCUGCAAGCUUUAAUUUUCUUUUUUUUUUCUGAGACAGGGUUUCUCUGUGUAACCCUGGGUGUCCUGAAACUCACUCUGUAUACCUCAAACUCUCAGAAAUCUACCUGCCUCUGCUUCCUGAGCACUGGAAUUAAAGAUCCUUGGCAGUCAAGAUGUGGCCCAUGGACCAGGAUCAUACCACAAUGGAGCUUGUUAGACACUCAAGGCUUCACCUUUGACCUGAACCCAAGCCUGCAUUUCAAUAUGAUGCACACAUGUGCCGGCUGGUCUCAUGUCAACUUGACACUCAAACUAGAGUUACUGAAAAGAGGGAACAUAAAAUGAGAAAAUACUUCUAUAAGAUCCAGCUGUAGGGCAUUUUUCUUAAUUGGUGAAUGAUAAGGGAAGGACCAGCCCAUUGUGGGUGGUGCCAUCCCUGGGCUGGUGAUCCUGGGUUCUAUAAGAAAGCAGGCUGUGCAAGCCUGGGGAAGCAAGCUAGGAAGCAGCCUCUCGAUGGCCUCUGCAUCAGCUCCUGCCUCCAGGAUCCUGCCCUGUUUGAGUUCCUCUCCUGAUUGCUUUUCAUGAUGAACAGCGAGCGAUAUGGGAGUGUAAGCUGAAUAAAUCCUUUCCUCCCCAACUUGCUUUUUAGUCAUGGUGUUUUGACACACAAACAGUAAUCCUAACUAAGACAGAAGGCAGUUCACACACACACACACACACACAAGUGCUUUACGUGAUACAGAAAAGAAUUUCUGAGGCUCUUCUAUGCUGGUCGCAAAAGCACUUUUAGGAAGACACCACCUUGCAUGCAGAAAUCUCACCAUUUAAUCUCAAGUAAGGCAUCAGGUCUUUCAUCAUGUCCUCUGUGAACUCGAUCCUCUCAUUUGCUAGGAACUUGCACAAGUACUGGGUGUCAAUUGCUUCUCCUUAGAAAGGAUGAGAAAUGGGACAAUGCUUACAAAGGAUGACAAGUACUUUCUGUGCUUAUGUAGACUGUUGCCCUGUACAUCUGGAAUGACAAGGAGCUCUGGGAAGUCCUGCUAUAGUUCUGCUUUGGUAUACAAGCAGAAGGUGAUAAAGGACUCCAGGAUUUGAAACCCUAUGUGUGGGCUAUGCAGAACCUGGUAUCUUCUGUACCACCUGGAUAUCUGUUUUUUUCUAUUUACCAGGCCCCCUUCCUUUUCACAGGGUCUCCCUGUGUCGCUCAUGCUGCCUCUGUUGCCCAAACAUGCAGUUUUCCUGCCUUUUCUUAAGUAGAUUGGGACUACAGGUAUAGAUCAUUGUACCUGGAAGUUCACACCAGCGAAAACUUUACAUUUUUGUUUAACUACAUUUUCCUGUAAUUUACUUCUUUGGUCACUAUACAUUCCAAAAAUUCACCCGAUCUCAAUACACAGAAUAGUUUUUUUUUUUUAUUAAUUGUAAGAGAUUUAACCACACUAAUGGCCACUAACUUUAAAGGGGUGGUAGGGGCAAGAAACCCCACUACCCUACCACAAAGGCAAUUCUCAGUUUUUCUUUCUGGUCUUUGAUAAUGACUUUAUUUAUAUAAUGUGAAAGUCUAAUGUAAGUAUAAUUUUGCAUUUUGUCUUACUAUGAAGACCAGGCUGAUCCUCAAAUUUGUGAUUCUCCUGCCUCAGCUUCCUGAGUGCUGAAAUUAUAGGUGUGCGCCACCAUGCUUGGCUUGUAUUUUGCUUUUCCAACCCCA
ensembl:lncRNA